GAGUGGCGAACGGGAGAGUACCACGUGGGAAAUUUUCGUGGGAGGGGGGGAUACAUUCGGAAACGGAUUCUACUACCGCAUAUGUUUUUGAACCGCAUGGCUCUUAAACGAAAGACGGCUUCGGCUGUCGCUCUUAGAUGAUCCCGCGACGUAUUAGUUAGUUGGUGGGGUAAAGGCCUACCAAGACCAUGAUACGUAGCCGACCUGAGAGGGUGAUCGGCCACACUGGGACUGAGACACGGCCCAGACUCCUACGGGAGGCAGCAGUAGGGAAUCUUCCACAAUGGGUGAAAACCUGAUGGAGCAAUGCCGCGUGAAUGAAGAUGGUCUUCGGAUCGUAAAGUUGUGUUAUUAGAGAAGAACAAGUCAAGGAGUAUCUGUCUUGACUUUGACGGUACCUAACCAGAAAGUCACGGCUAACUACGUGCCAGCAGCCGCGGUAAUACGUAGGUGACAAGCGUUGUCCUGAAUUAUUGGGCGUAAAGGGAGCGCAGGCGGUUGGAUUAGUCUGAUGUGAAAGCCCACGGCUUAACCGUGGAAGGUCAUUGGAAACUGUCCAACUUGAAUACAGAAGAGGUAAGUGGAAUUCCAAGUGUAGCGGUGAAAUGCGUAGAUAUUUGGAGGAACACCAGUGGCGAAGGCGACUUACUGGUCUGUAAUUGACGCUGAGGCUCGAAAGCGUGGGUAGCAAACAGGAUUAGAUACCCUGGUAGUUCACGCCGUAAACGAUGAGUGCUAAGUGUUAGGGGGUUUCCGCCCCUUAGUGCUGGAGUUAACGCA
rnacentral:rRNA from 1 species